AUUGUGUUCUGGCAUUGAAGGGUUUACCUAAAGGAAAGGGCCUACUUUUGCUUGCUGAAAUGAGCUCAGCUGGCAACCUUGCUUGGACUACACUGCUGCGGUUGUAAAGAGUGUCGAGCAACAUCCUGCUUUGUAAUAGGAUGUAUAUCAGUAAAUCCUGCAUCUUGGUCUCCAGCGCCGUCGAUCCCAACAUUCAUCCAUGCCACUCCUGGAGUUUAGAUGGCUGCUGGAGGAGAUGCCCUUGGGCAACAAUAUAAUACUCCCAUUUUUGUGAGUGCAUUUUUGCCAUUCGGUUCUCGUUGGAUGGCUCACUUGCUUCUUGUCGACUGGGGAUUUGGUGUGUUGGGUUGUGGCCACUGGCCGGCGGCAGCUAGGAACAACAACCUGUAGUAGGUGUCAAUUGAGGCGACAUUGCAUCAGGAAGCAGAAGACAUGCACGCAAUUGGUGAAUGACAACUUUGCAUCUGUGAUUUGUCCCAAGAAAGUCUGUUCUCCUUUGCGUCCAAAAUAUGUAAGUUUGCUGAAUUUCAUAAACUCCUUUUAUCCUUGACGCAGAUUUGUUCUUAACACUUGGUGGGAAUAAAAAGGAACAGAGAGAUAGUGAUGGAUGGCCAGGAGAGGCGAGGGCCGCCUCACCGUAGAUGGAGCCCACGAGGCGCGCAAGGAGUGGCGCGCCUUCUCCGGCUCCUUGCUCCGCUCCAAUGGCGUCAAUGUCCACGUGCCACGUCAUGGAGCGGAUGCAGCACAAUUGGCUAGCUGUAUACAUGCAUCUGUUCAAUCCGUGGCUUCUCGGCGCUCUCCUAGGUUUUGGACUUCAAAACUUUGUAAUGGUCAAAGCUAGAAGCUAAAUCACAAGCAGAACCAUCCGAAUUAGCUGGAGCAGUUUCAUUUUCAGCAAGUGCUGGUCAUUCACUGUUAAGGAGUUUGAUCCACAAACCUGCACUUGGUCUACCUUGUGUACUUAUGGAAGGUCACUUGUAUGACAGUAAAGACACGGGCACCUAACUGAACAUGCCCUCAAAGAUGCAGGUGCUGCCGAGGAAGAGGAGGCGCUCCCGGUCCUGGCUUCUAGACGUUGUGAACCAGAUCUUGGUGCGGUUGCCCGAGUAGUUUACUCGUCUAGAGGAGGGGUUUGGUUCUCGACCCGAUUU